rnacentral:rRNA from 1 species
UACGGAAGGUUCGGGCGUUAUCCGGAUUUAUUGGGUUUAAAGGGAGCGUAGGCCGGAGAUUAAGCGUGUUGUGAAAUGUAGAUGCUCAACAUCUGAACUGCAGCGCGAACUGGUUUCCUUGAGUACGCACAAAGUGGGCGGAAUUCGUGGUGUAGCGGUGAAAUGCUUAGAUAUCACGAAGAACUCCGAUUGCGAAGGCAGCUCACUGGAGCGCAACUGACGCUGAAGCUCGAAAGUGCGGGUAUCGAACAGG